AUGGACGGUUUGCUCCAUUGGGAUUUCGACCCCGGCCUUAAGGUCGAGGACCAGGUUCGUAGAAGAUUCAAAUCCACGGUUCAUUUCUCUCUCCCAUCUACUUCCAAGGAAUUUUUCUUGGUGGUCACUUUCUCCUCUGCCUCCUUCCCUCUCUCUUGUGCUUCGGUUGGUUUGGCGUUGCAAUGUUGCAUUGGAGGUCUUGCUUCUGGAUUUAACGUGACACAAAUUGGAGCAAAAAACUUUAGGUUCUCUAUGGCUUCAAAUAAGGUGGGACAUUUCAUCUAUGCCCUACGGGAUAGAGUCUGGCCGGAUUUUGUUUGUCACUUUGGUUUAUUCAAACAGCCAUGA
rnacentral:rRNA from 1 species